rnacentral:tmRNA from 1 species
GGGGGUGUACCGGCUUCGACAGUCGAUUGGAGGCGGGGUAAGCAUGCCGCAGGCUCGUCUGCGUUAAAACGGAAACAAAAAUUAAAUGCGAACAAAACGCAAAAGAACUCCGCACCGGAGUUCGCCCUCGCUGCAUAAUUUAGUCAGCGUGUCGCCCUCGGGUUUGCUGUUCCCCGGGCAAGCGGCAUCAUAAAAAACAGCGAGAGCGACCCCAUCGCCCGGUAAGGUCGCCGUCAAUACGGGCUUUUCAGACGGAGGUUCGCCCGCGCACCGAAGCGAGAGAAAAACAAGCGCCGGAUAAGCAUGUAGAAAGCACCGUUAAAGGUCGGUUGGACCGGGGUUCAACUCCCCGCACCUCCACCA